rnacentral:lncRNA from 1 species
GUCUCUGCUUCUCUCCGGCUCCGGUGCGGCGGGCGGCGGGGCUUGUCCAACAUCCCUCACCUCCCUCAGUUGGACAUUUCCCUUCCACGCUCGGAUGCCCAGCCGCGCCUGUUUUCUUGCAUCCCUCCUGUCGUGUCUGCGGGGCUGCCCUGAAGGCCUCUUUCCCUCCAGGGAAGAAAGGGAUCCAAAGCUAGGGGUGAAAAUAGGGCCAGCAGUAUCUAGCAGACUGGUCCUGGCCAGGAGAAGGGGUUAAGGGAGCCACUCAUUCUUCGCCUGGGUACACUUCAAAGAGGGGAACCAGAUCCUACGGGAAGCUAGGUGCCAGAACUCCUGCCUUUCCAAGACGAGCUCAUCCCCAUCAUCACCAUACCCAGGAAUACUUGUUCAUAGCCAGCUCAGAGGUGCACCAUACUUUAGCUUCCCACGGCCUUCACUCGUUUUCUCCUGUGGGUGAAUUCUAACUAGGCUCGCCUGUCACCAAAGAUGGAAACAGAGAAUAGAUCCUGAACACCAGGAAGAUGGUGACAAGGUGAUAGAGAAACAGAUGGCACAUUCAAACAAGGGCCCUGAAGUGAUCCUCCUCCUGUUCACUGACACCCGUUGCCAAGAGAGAGAGAGAAAAAGAGAGAGAGAGAGAAGCAGGAAGAGAGGAGAGGGUGCUGGCCUUAUUAGAGAAAGAAUGGUCCCACUCUGUUGCCCAGGUUGGAGUGCAGUGGUACAAUCACACAGCUCACUGCAGCCUUGACCUCCCAGGCUCAAGCGAUCCUCCCACCUCAGCCCCUGAGUAGCCGGGACUACCGGUGCAAGCCACUACACCCGGCUAAUUUUUUUGUAUUUUUGUAGACACAAGGUUUUGCUAUAUUGCCCUGGCUGGUCUCAAACUGCUGGACUCAACAAUCCACCUGCCUCAGCCUCCCAAAAUACUGGGAUUACAGGCAUGAGCCACCACGCCAGGCCAAGACUUUAUAUUGAGGUUCACUUUUGGUGUUAUACAUUCUAUGGUUUUUGACAAAUGUAUAAAUACAUGUAUCCACAUACAUGUAUUCUGUGUCAUAUGGAAUAGUUUCCAGAAUAGUGUGGUGGUGCACACCUGUAGUCUCAGCUACUUGGGAGGCUGAGGCAGGAGGAUGGUCUUGAUCAUUAUAACUUUAUAGUAAGGCUUAAAGUCCAGUAAAGUCAGUCCUCUGACUUUGUUCUUCUACUUCAACACUGAGUUGACUACUCUGGGUCUUUUGCCCUCCAUGUAAACUUUGGAAUCAGUUUACUGAUAACCAUAAAAUAGUAUUAUACAGAAUAGUUUCACUGCCCUAAAAAUCCUCUGUGCUCUCCUUAUUCAUCCCUCCCUCCUCCCUGUGGCAACCACUGAUCUUUUUACCAUAGUUUUGCCUUUUCCAGAAGGUAAUACAGUUGAAAUCAUACAGUAUGCAGUCUUUUCAGAUUGACCUUUCCUGUGUCUUUUCUUUCUUUUUUUUUUUUUUUUUUUUUUUUGAGAGACAGAGUCUUGUUCUGUUGUCCAGGCUGGAGUGCAGUAGCACAAUCAUAGCUCACUGCCACCUCAAUCUUCUGGACUCAAGCAAUCCUCCUGUCUUGGCCUCCUGAGUAGCUAGGACUACAGGCAUAUGCCACCACACCCAGCUAAUUUUAUUUUUUUAUUUUUAAUAGAGACGAGAUCUCACUAUGUUGCCCAGGCUGGGCUCCAUGUCUUUUCAUUACUUGAUAACUCAUUUCUUUUUAGCAGUGAAUAAUAUUCCAUUGCCUGAUAUACCACAGUUUAUUUAACCACUUAGCCUCUGAAAGAUACCUUGGUUGCUUCCAACUUUUGUCAGUUAUGAAUAAAGCUGCUAUAAACAUCUGUGUGCAAGUUUCUGUGUGGACAUAAAUUUUCAAUUCAUUUGGGUAAAUACCAAGGAGUACAAUUGCUGGAUCAGAUGGUGAAGUAUUUUUGGUUUUAUAAGAAAGCAGCCAAACUGUCUUCCAAAGUUACGGUACCAUUUUACAUUCCCACCACCAAUGAGUGAGAGCUUCUAUUUGCUAGUAUCCUCACCAGCAUUUGGUAUUGUCAGUGUUUAGAUCCAGAAUAGGUGUGUCACAGUGUCUCCUCUCACUGUGAUUUUAAUUUGCAAUUACCUAACAACAUAUGAUGCUGAAGAUCUUUUCAUAUGCAUACUUGCCAUCUUCAUACCUUCUUGGCAAGGUGUGUGUUCAGGUUUUGGUGAUUUUUAAAAUUAUUUAUUUUAGAGAUGGGAGAUUUCACUAUGUUGCCCAGGCUGGUCUUGAACUCCUGGGCUCAAGUGAUCCUUCUGCCUCAGCCUCCCAAAGUACUGGGAUUGCAGGCAUGAGCCACCAUGCCUGGCCUUGUUGAUCUUUUAAGUUGAGUUGUUCAUUUUCUUAUUGUUGAGUUUUAAGAGUUCUCCAUAUUUUUUGGAUAACAGUUCUUUUUAUGUCUUUUGCAAACAUCUUCUCCCAGUCUGGGGCCUGCCUUCUCAUUCUCUUGACAGUAACUUUUGCAGAGCAGAGUUUUUAAUUUUAACAAAAUCUAGCUCAUCAAUUAUUUCUUUCAUUAUUGUGCUUUUGGUGUUGUAUCUGAAAAGUCAUUAGACCUAUCCAAGGUCAUCUAGAUAUUUUCCUAUGUUCUAGGAGUGUUCUAGUUUUGUGUUUUACAUUUAGGUGUAUGGUUCAUCUUGAUUUUUGUGAAGAGUGUAAGAUCUGUUCCUAGAUUCAAAUUUUUUUUUUUUAAUUUUUCGAGACGAAGUCUCGCUCUGUCACCAGGCUGGAGUGCAGUGGCGCAAUCUUGGCUCACUGCACCCUCCGCCUCCCAGGUUCAAGUGAUUCUCCUGCCUCAGCCUCCUGAGUAGCUGGAACUACAGGUGUGCGCCACUACGCCCAGCUAAUUUUUUUAUUUUUAGUAGAGAUGGGGUUUCACCAUGUUGGCCAGGAUGGUCUUGAUCUCUUGACCUCGUGAUCUGCUGGCCUCAGCCUCCCAAAGUGCUGGGAUUACAGGCAUGAGCUACCACGCCCGGCCUUAGAUUCAAAUUGUUUUUGGCAUGUGGAUGUCCAUAUGUUCUAGCACCAUCUGUGAAAAGACAACUUUGUUGCAUUGUAUUGCCUUUACUCUAACUUUGCCAUAAAUAAGUUGGCUAUAUUUAUGUGCACCUAUUUCUACACCCUCUAUUCUAUUCCAUUAGUCCAGUUGUUUAUUCUUUCACCAAUACCACGUGACCUUGAUUACUAUAGCUUUAUAGUAAGUCUUGAUGUCAAGUAGGGUCAGUCCUCUAACUUUGUUCUUCUAUGUCAAUAAAGUUGAUUACUCUGGGUCUGCUCUCCAUGUAAACUUUGGUAUCAGUUUAUUGAUAUCCAUAAAAUAACUUGCUUAGAUUUUGAUCAGGAUUGCAUUGAAUCUAUAGAUCAAGUUGUGAGGAAGUGACAUCUUGACAACAUUUAGGCUUCCUAUUCAUGAACAUCUAAAUAUAAAUCUCUCCACUUAUUUAGUUCUUUGACUUCUUUCAUCGGAGUUUUAUAGUUUUCCUCAUAUAGAUCUUGUACAUAUUUUGUUAGAUUUAUACCUACGUGUUUCAUUUUGGGGGGUGCUAAUGUUAAUGGUAAUUUUUUGUUGUUGUUUUUGAGACACAGUUUCACUCUUGUUGCCCAGGCUGGAGUGCAAUGGCGCGAUCUUGGCUCACCACAACCUCCGCCUCCUGGGUUCAAGCAAUUCUCCUGCCUCAGCCCCCGGAGUAGCUGGGAUUACAGGCAUGCACCACCACGCCUGGCUAAUUUUGUAUAAUUUUCUUUUUUGAGACGGA